CCUGAGCCACGGCCUGUUCACCCCGCUACCAUCUAGAAGGUCAUCAAGGACCUCAGCCACCUGAGCCACGGCCUGUUCACCCCUCUACCAUCUAGAAGGUCAUUAAGGACCUCAGCCACCUGAGCCACGGCCUGUUCACCCCGCUACCAUCUAGAAGGUCAUUAAGGACCUCAGCCACCUGAACCACGUCCUGUUCACCCCGCUACCAUCUAGAAGAUCA